rnacentral:rRNA from 1 species
UACGUAGGGGGCUAGCGUUGUCCGGAAUCAUUGGGCGUAAAGCGCGUGUAGGCGGUCCGGUAAGUCCGUUGUGAAAGUCGGGGGCUCAACCCUCGGAUGCCGGUGGAUACUGUCGGGCUUGAGUACGGAAGAGGCGAGUGGAAUUCCUGGUGUAGCGGUGAAAUGCGCAGAUAUCAGGAGGAACACCAAUUGCGAAGGCAGCUCGCUGGGACGUUACUGACGCUGAGACGCGAAAGCGUGGGGAGCAAACAGG